rnacentral:misc_RNA from 1 species
AAAGUCGUAACAAGGUAACCGUAGGUGAACCUGCGGUUGGAUCAUUAAAAAUCUUUAAAUGUUGAGGCUAAAGGUCUUACCUUUAGCUUUCAUCAACCCACUCUUGUGAACUGUUUUUGUAUUUUGGGUGAGGGUUAGUGUUGCUUUAAUCUUUAUGGUUGAAGCUUCUCUUGGAAGUGAGUUGGAAGAAGUCAGUUGGCUCUAAGCCUUCAAGACCAAUCUACUCUACCCACCCGCUGGCAUUGAGACUCACGUCUCUUUGCCAAACAACCUUUAAACCCUUGAUUGAUGAACUUGUCUUUAACCUUUGAUUUUUAUAACCUAAAAACAACUUUUGACAACGGAUCUCUAGGCUCUC